rnacentral:rRNA from 1 species
GUGGGGAAUCUUGCACAAUGGGGGAAACCCUGAUGCAGCGACGCCGCGUGAACGAUGAAGCCCUUCGGGGUGUAAAGUUCUUUCGACGGGGACGAUAAUGACGGUACCCGGAGAAGAAGCUGCGGCUAACUACGUGCCAGCAGCCGCGGUAAUACGUAGGCAGCAAGCGUUGUUCGGAAUUACUGGGCGUAAAGAGUGCGUAGGCGGUUGGCUAAGUUUGGUGUGAAAUCUCCCGGCUCAACUGGGAGGGUGCGCCGAAAACUGGCCGGCUAGAGUGUGGGAGAGGUAAGUGGAAUUCCUGGUGUAGCGGUGAAAUGCGUAGAUAUCAGGAGGAACACCUGCGGUGUAGACGGCUUACUGGACCAUGACUGACGCUGAGGCACGAAAGCGUGGGGAGCAAACAGGAUUAGAUACCCCAGUAGUCC